rnacentral:rRNA from 1 species
GACGAACGCUGGCGGCGCGCCUAACACAUGCAAGUCGAACGAGCGAGAGAGAGCUUGCUUUCUCGAGCGAGUGGCGAACGGGUGAGUAACGCGUGAGGAACCUGCCUCAAAGAGGGGGACGAACAGUUGGAAACGACUGCUAAUACCGCAUAAGCCCACGGUGCCGCAUGGCACAGAGGGAAAAGGAGUAAUCCGCUUUGAGAUGGCCUCGCGUCCGAUUAGCUAGUUGGUGAGGUAACGGGCCCACCAAGGCGACGAUCGGUAGCCGGACUGAGAGGGUUGAACGGCCACAUUGGGACUGAGACACGGCCCAGACUCCUACGGGAGGCAGCAGUGGGGAAUAUUGCACAAUGGGGGAAACCCUGAUGCAGCGACGCCGCGUGGAGGAAGAAGGUCUUCGGAUUGUAAACUCCUGUUGUUGGGGAAGAUAAUGACGGUACCCAACAAGGAAGUGACGGCUAACUACGUG